GUCAGACAAAAGCUAUGCCUUAUGAAAUCAUGCUGGAUUUCCCUAAUGAGACAACACUAGGGAUUGUGAGACUGCAAUUUGGAUUUACAGUCAUCCUAUGAAAAUGUCUCUCAUAGAAUUAAUUCAUACUGAUUUUGAAAUGAUGCACUGAGGUCCACAGAACAAUACUGGACUACAGGGCAAAGAGGUACUAUGAACUCUGAAAGGCAGAAUCUGGAUCUAUAAUCUGAAGAGAUGUCACUGCAUAUCAAUGACGGAGAAAAGCCCAUAACAAAAACAUUGGAG